ACGAACGCUGGCGGCGUGCUUCACCCCUGCCAGUCGCACGGAAAGGCCCUGCUUGCAGGGUGCUCGAGUGGCGAACGGGUGAGUAACACGUGGGUGAUCUGCCCCUUACUUUGGGAUAAGCCUGGGAAACUGGGUCUAAUACUGGAUAGGACCAUGCUGUAGGUGGUGUGGUGGAAAGAUUAGUUUCGGUAAGGGAUGAGCUCGCGGCCUAUCAGCUUGUUGGUGGGGUAAUGGCCUACCAAGGCGUCGACGGGUAGCCGGCCUGAGAGGGUGGACGGCCACAUUGGGACUGAGAUACGGCCCAGACUCCUACGGGAGGCAGCAGUGGGGAAUAUUGCACAAUGGGCGCAAGCCUGAUGCAGCGACGCCGCGUGGGGGAUGACGGCCUUCGGGUUGUAAACUCCUUUCAGCCAUGACGAAGCCCUUGUGGUGACGGUAGUGGUAGAAGAAGCACCGGCUAACUACGUG
rnacentral:rRNA from 1 species